rnacentral:rRNA from 1 species
CAAAAGGGAAGCAAAGCCGCGAGGCGGAGCGAAUCCCCAAAAGGCGUCUCAGUUCGGAUUGCAGGCUGCAACUCGCCUGUAUGAAGUCGGAAUUGCUAGUAAUCGUGGAUCAGCAUGCCACGGUGAAUACGUUCCCGGGCCUUGUACACACCGCCCGUCACACCAUGGGAGUUUGUAACGCCCAAAGUCGGUGGCCUAACCUUUAUGGAGGGAGCCGCCUAAGGCGAGACAGAUGACUGGGGUGAAGUCGUAACAAGGUAGC